ACCGGAUGCCGAUCUCGAAAACCUGUCCCAGUUCGGACUGGAGUCUGCAACCCGACUCCACGAAGUUGGAUUCGCUAGUAAUCGCGCAUCAGCCAUGGCGCGGUGAAUACGUUCCCGGGCCUUGUACACACCGCCCGUCAAGCCAUGGGAGCCGGGGGCGCCUGAAGUCCGGGACCGCGAGGACCGGCCUAGGGCGAAACUGGUGACUGGGCUAAGUCGUAACAAGGUACC
rnacentral:rRNA from 1 species